UACAGAGGUCUCAAGCGUUUGUUCGGAUUCAUUGGGCGUAAAGGGUGCGUAGGCUGCGCAGCAAGUUGGGUGUGAAAUCCCUCGGCUUAACCGAGGAACUGCGCCCAAAACUGCUGUGCUCGAGGGAGACAGGAGGUGAGGCGGAAACUUGAGGGUGGAGCGGUGAAAUGCGUUGAGUAUACCUAAGGACACCGGUGGCGAAAGCGGCUACACUGGGUCUCUUCUGACGCUGAGGCACGAAAGCUAGGGAGCGAACGGG
rnacentral:rRNA from 1 species